UUUUUUUCUUUUCUUUUUUUUUUCUUUUCUUUUUUCUUUUUUGCUUCUAUU
rnacentral:ribozyme from 13 species